GACGUAGGGGGCGAGCGUUGUCCGGAGUUACUGGGCGUAAAGGGCUUGUAGGUGGCCAACUAAGUCAGACGUGAAAUCCCUAGGCUUAACCGGGGAACUGCGUCUGAUACUGGAUGGCUUGAGAUUGGGAGAGGGAUGCGGAAUUCCAGGUGUAGCGGUGAAAUGCGUAGAUAUCUGGAGGAACUCCGGUGGCGAAGGCGGCAUCCUGGACCAACACUGACACUGAUAAGCGAAAGCCAGGGGAGCAAACGGG
rnacentral:rRNA from 1 species